rnacentral:rRNA from 1 species
UUCCGGUUGAUCCUGCCAGAGGCCACUGCUAUUGGAAUGCGACUAAGCCAUGCGAGUCAAGGGGCUCUUCGGAGCACCGGCGUACGGCUCAGUAACAUGUGGGUAACCUACCCUCAGGUGGGGGAUAACCUCGGGAAACUGAGGCUAAUACCUCAUAGAUAAAAGAUACUGGAAUGUUCUUUUAUCAAAAGCUCCGGCGCCUGAGGAUGGGCCUGCACCCGAUUAGGUAGUUGGUGAGGUAACGGCUCACCAAGCCUACGAUCGGUACGGGUCGUGAGAGCGAUAGCCCGGAGAUGGGGACUGAGACAAGGCCCCAGGCCCUACGGGGCGCAGCAGGCGCGAAACCUCUGCAAUGUGCGAAAGCAUGACAGGGGCAUUCCAAGUGCUCUUGUUUUACAAGAGCUUUUCUCCGGUCCAAGACGCCGGAGGAAUAAGGGCUGGGUAAGACCGGUGCCAGCCGCCGCGGUAACACCGGCAGCUCGAGUGGUGGCCGCUAUUAUUGGGCCUAAAGCGUUCGUAGCCGGGCAGGUAAGUGUUCUGGUAAAUCCCAUAACUUAAUUAUGGGGCUUCAGAAUAUACUGCCUGCCUUGAGACCGGGAGAGGCUGGAGGUACUUUCGGGGUAGGGGUAAAAUCCUAUAAUCCCGAAGGGACCACCGGUGGCGAAGGCGUCCAGCCAGAACGGGUCUGACGGUGAGGGACGAAACCCAGGGGAGCGAGCCGGAUUAGAUACCCGGGUAGUCCUGGGCGUAAAUGAUGUGGGCUAGGUGCAAAGGCUACCUAUGAGGGUAGCUUGGGUGCCGAGGGGGAAGCCGUUAAGCCCGCCGCCUGGGGGAGUACGGCCGCAAAGGCUGAAACUUAAAGGAAUUGGCGGGUGAGCACCACAAGGGGUGGAGGCUGCGGUUUAAUUGGAUUCAACGCCGGGAAACUCACCGGGGGCGACAGCAGAAUGAAGGUCAGGCUGAUGACCUUACCAGACAAGCUGAGAGGAGGUGCAURGCCGUCGUCAGCUCGUACCGUGAGGCGUCCUGUUAAGUCAGGUAACGAGCGAGACCCUCGCCCACAGUUGCCAGCAGAUCCUUUGGGAUGCUGGGGACUCUGUGGGGACCGCUGGUGCUAAACCAGAGGAAGGAGAGGGCGACGGUAGGUCAGUAUGCCCCAAAUCUCCCGGGCUACACGCGGCCUACAAUGGGCGAAACAAUGGGUUUCGACCCCGAAAGGGGAAGGUAAUCCCCUAAAUUCGCUCUAAGUCCGGAUCGAGGGCUGCAACUCGCCCUCGUGAAGCUGAAAUCCCUAGUAAUCGCGUGUCAUCAUCGCGCGAUGAAUGUGUCCCUGCUCGUUGCACACACCGCCCGUCAAGCCACCUGAGUGAGGUUCAGACGAGGCCUUGUCCAGUGGGUAAGGUCGAAUCUGAGCUUCGCAAGGGGGGCUAAGUCGUAACAAGGUA